rnacentral:rRNA from 1 species
UUGGAGGGCAAGUCUGGUGCCAGCAGCCGCGGUAAUUCCAGCUCCAAUAGCGUAUAUUAAAGUUGUUGCAGUUAAAAAGCUCGUAGUUGAACUUCGGGGUUUACCCAUUGGUCAGGCUUAAUUGUCUGUACUGGUGAGAUGAAUCUCUACCUUCUGAGGAACUUUCAUGCCAUUUAUUUGGUGUGGUGGGAAAUCAGGACUGUUACUUUGAAAAAAUUAGAGUGUUUAAAGCAGGC